GGGCCUAUAGCUCAGCGGUCAGAGCAGCGGACUCAUAAUCCGUUGGUCGCAGGUUCAAAUCCUGCUGGGCCCA
rnacentral:tRNA from 1 species